rnacentral:misc_RNA from 1 species
GCGCAUCGUCGGACGUGCAUCGUGUCGGUCGUGUUGUGCUCAUGAGUGAGCAGUCGAGACAUGUGAUUCGAGUCCGUCAUAAUCGCGAAAAAGAAUGAAGUAGAAAAUGAUAAGGAGAUAUCUCACAGUCGUAGACGGCCUAAAGUGGUAAGGAUCGAUUGUUGCGCGCGACAUAUCGAUCCGGAGAGAUCCCUGAAUUCGGAGGAGAUAAGAAGUUAAAAAGAACGUGUGGGUUCUCUUCGGAACGAGAUAAGAUCGAUCGUUAUAACACUGGAUCUAUGACAUCCCUACCUGGAUAUCCUGUAGAAAUUUUUUCCGAAUUGAUAUUUUUUCCGGUAAUUGAAUUCCACGAAUGGAAGGUUUGCGACAUUCGAAAAGACAUUCCGGAAAUCAAACACGGCGAGACAUUUCCUGCGAAGAACAUCAAGUCGGAAAGAAAUCGUGCAAAAACUUUUACGAACGUUCGUGUUUAAGUGUGGAAAACUUACGGUAAAAAAGUGCCUGAUAAAAUCGAGUAAUACGAAUCAAUAUAAUUUGUGCUUCAUUAUAAGUGAAAUAUAAGAACUUUACAAAGUCAUAGCAAGAUUUGAUAUUAAUCCACGAAGAAGGACACAAUUACCGAGAAAAUUUGUAAAAGAUAAUUAAUAUAAGACAAAAGAUCCGAGUGAGGGGGUGAUUAGGUUUAAGGAAGGGAGGGAUAAUAGUGGCUGUGGUAACUUGAAAGAAUGGCGGAAAACUCUUUUCGCCGGAAAACCAGAUCGGCUUCGAUUUGUGCUCCAGGAUUUUCCAGCAUGGAACAAAUGUUGGAAGCUAUGCCACCCUCGGGAGCUCGUGAAAGAGAAAGAGGAGAACGAGAAAGAGACAGUGGAAGCGGAACUCCGGAUGGCAGUACACCUACGAGAAGACGGAGACCGGCUACAAGAUCCCAGAGCGCCCGUGUUUCCGGUGGAAAUAAAAGCAUCCGACGCCGAGCCGCUGCUCAAGCGGCCGCUCAUCAUCAUCAUCAUCAUCAUGAGGGAGCCAGUAUGAAGUCAGCUCAUUGCAGCAGCGAACCCAGACUGACCGAGAAUGACGUCAGUCCGGGGAUCAGAAGACGAGGGAGUCGAAGGGGACAAAGCAUGCACUAUUCGCAUCAGAGGAAGAGCAACGCCUUCCUGGAUGUGCCUGACGUCUCAUCUCAGAUGCCACCACGGGAGGAAGGCGAGGAUGAGGAUAGUUACAGACUUCGUAGCUUCAGUCUCACCAGCAAAGGUGUUGUCAAUAGAGGAGAUUCUUUCAGAAGAAGAAGAUCGAGAUCGAAUUCUUUAGCGCCUGCCGAUCAACAAAAUGAGGAACGGCGACUGCCGCCCAAGGAAGUAGCUUCGCACAACGUUGCUAUGUUAGGUACAAGAGGAGUUGGAAAAACCGCCCUAAUCAGUCAGUUUAUGACCAGCGAGUGUAUAAAUGCCUACGAUAGACAAAGAGAUGUGCCAAGUGAGCAAUCCGUUUUCGUGAUGCUGAAUGGUGAAGAAAGCGAGCUUAAAUUCUUAAACAUCAUUAAUCUUAAAAUCGAAUUGGAAAAAAUGCCAUUGCCAGACGCCUUUGUCGUAAUGUAUUCAGUAAUCGACAAGGCAUCCUUUCAAAGGGCUGAAGAAUAUCUCGCUCGACUUCAUGAUCAAGAUCUUCUUCGUGGUAAACCGGCUAUUCUGGUCGGGAACAAGGUCGAUUUGGUUCGUUCCAGAGUGGUUUCGCCCCAGGAUGGGAAAUGCUUGGCAUGUACCUACCGUGCGAAGUUCAUCGAAGUAUCAGUGGGCAUCAAUCACAACGUCGACGAGCUCCUUGUUGGAAUACUCAACCAGAUCCGUUUAAAGGUGAUCCAGAGUAACCAAGAGAAUCGAAACAGCGGUGGCAGUGAGGGUAGUGCUCAUUGGUACAAAUCUAGAGGCGUCGUGCGCGCUAGUAUGAAAGCCAGACAGAUGCUAACUUGGCUUUUCGGCAAAGAAGAUAGCAAAUUUAAGAAUUGCGAGAACCUCCACGUACUUUAAAGUCACUGCAAAAAAGAUCGCAAUCAAGCUACUCGACUACUGUUUUAUUAGUCACGUAAGUAUGGCAUGAUUUGAGAAACUUCUUUCUCGACAGGAACUUUAUUAGAAUUCCAGAAUUGAAGGAAUUUCCGUCGGGAAAGGAUCGUGAGAAUGUGAGAAUGUGCUGAAUGGAUGCAUCUUCGAGUCAACAAUAUAACGGGCGAGUUGGUCCGUGGACCAAUGGAUACUAUUAGCAUCGGGUUAACAAAGUGCCAAUUAGUGAAAAUUGACGCGCACUGAGUUUGGGGAGAAAAUCCUUCGAUUCCAUACUCGUUUAACUAGAAUUACCUUCUGAGAAAUGUGAGUAAUUAAUCCUUUCAGUCCCAGAUGUGACUGAGCGUUACUUCUCAGUAAUUUUCACGACACAAACUUCGUCCUCCUUGUUCUUUGAAAGAUUAAGUAUUAUCUAUUAAAUUACAUUCAAGUCUUUAUUCAAGCAUUGCUGGAUAUUUAGACUAUUUCGUGUCAAUUUAUAUGCAGUCUUAUUUUGACAAUAAUUUGAGAUUAAUGAAAUUAAUAUUCUGACAAAUUUUGUUACAUUUAUCGUUGCUUAUUUUGUACUGAUCGAACAUUUUUCAUUAAUAUUCUACUUGUUAAAGAAAAAUAAAAUGGGCAUUUACAUAUAUAUCGCGCAUUUCAGCUUUAUGUAAUUACAAAUGAUGUUGAAUCUAAUGGCCCAUAAUAGCGCAAUCAAAAGUUCAAAUCAAUUCGUGUGACGAUAAGAAAAGAAUUUAAACCGGACCAUGGUGCGAAUUAGUCGCCUUAAAUUUACGACUUUACUGUAUGAUAAGACCAAUUAUUAAUCUUUUUAUUUAGUACAUGUAUAUACAAAACUUACAUACAUGAUAUAAGCGUAUAUUUGCGUAAUGUUCUAUACAAAUAUACCCAACGUGUAUGUACAACAUCCCUUAAUCCCUCCGUUGACGGAUGUCGAUUUUACCAUACAUAACAGCGUUACAUCGUUGUGUAAACAGAAUAUACCGCCACUAUUCUCGCGUCGCUAAAUUCGCUUGUGCCAUUAAUUUCUCGCGUUCCAAUGGGCUUUCGCAGUCCGGUAUUGUAUAUAUAAAGCCAACUUGGUGCAAUACGCUAAUGUUACUUGACAUUAAAUUGUAUAUAAAAGUCAUGAGGUUACUUUAAUACCUAACAGGUGUUUAUUAUAAUUAGAAAAAAUAUAGUGUAAAGCUGCCUAUAUAUGUUGCUAAAAUGUUUCCUACGCUUAUAUUGAGCGAAUCUAUAUAUAUCGCGCCCAUGCGUGCAUAAUUUUUAUCAUCUAAAUUUCAAAGUAGAUAAUUAAUCGAUGCGUAUUUUAAUUCCAGAUACCUAUGUUAAAAGUUAUUAUACGAUCGCGCAUCAAGUAACUUUUAAUUAGCACUUUGAGGUCUGACUCCGUCAUUUUAUUAAUUGGAUAUUCUAUUAAUUAUUUUGCAAUCUGUUUUAUACGAUUUUAUGUGUGAUACCGAUAUUGAUAUAGUACAUAGUUCAUGCGGCAUUUUGUGUGCAGUAUUCUGCCCCAAUGGAAAUGAAAUCUAUCCUAUUGCGUGUUUUCUUCGUGAGCGUCGCGAGAGAAUGGGUAUAGCGGUGAUGUAUACCCGAAACUAUAGUCUUCUGAAGAGAGAUAUUCUUUUCGAAUCUUUAAGAAGAGUGUCUAUAAAAAGCUGUCUAUUUUCUGCGAUCUCUAUGCCUGUGUAUCCGAAUUAUACGAAUGUUGCGUAAAAUCUGAGUGCGUAAUACUGUACAUCUACAUGACGGGAACAAUGCGCGAAUGACGUGCAACUUUGCCCUUCUCGUGUGAAUAUUUCAUUGUCUCUAAACUAUGUAUACGAGAAAUUAACGUUUCGGAUUACAGUAGUAAAUUACGGACUUCCUUUCUCUCGUUGCAUGAACAUUUUGAAAAGUAUUUAUAAUUUUUGAUGAUCCAAAUAAAACUAAAGAAGUUUCUUUCGGCAUUCUUCGUUAUCGUUGUUACCAUCGUCGUGCAAUUAAUUCGAUCGUAGCAUCAAAUGAGAGUUGUGACGAUAUGUAAACUUUGAGUUUAAGGAUUUAUCCCAAAAUGUUUCUCAGCCGAGGAACUGAAGAUUUUUACCAAGUGCCUUUGCGUAUUUUUGUAAUUUAAGCUAACUCAGUGUAAGCCCCAUGAGUAUCACACUGUAUAAUCUAUUAUUAUACAUAUAUUACUGAUAUAUUUAUUUGUUAUUAAUUCAUCAUGUUUCCUGUGAGAUCGCUGCGUUGUGUAAUCUCGAUGGCGUAACUUUCUUUCCUAAAAAUAUAUGUGAUUUAAUUAAAUAUAAAUAUCAAGUAUCUGAAAACUAAUCAAAAUGCCAAAGUAAUGAGAUACUUCCAUCUAAAGACAUAUUUAAAGUUACGUCACCGAUGAAUCUCCUUGUUCAUUUGUGCCAUUAGCAUUUCCCUAAAACUAUGAAUGUAACUUAGUUAUUAAAGUGUCAUUGUGUCUGCUCGUUGUAAUAUGUGACGUGACAAUACUGCCAGUCCUUGGUUAAUAAAAUGCUGAGAAAAAC